rnacentral:rRNA from 1 species
GCGUUGUCCGGAUUUAUUGGGUUUAAAGGGUGCGUAGGCGGCCCUGUAAGUCAGUGGUGAAAUACUUCAGCUUAACUGUAGCAUUGCCAUUGAUACUGUAGGGCUUGAGUACAGAUGAGGUAGGCGGAAUUGAUGGUGUAGCGGUGAAAUGCAUAGAUACCAUCAAGAACACCGAUUGCGAAGGCAGCUUACUAAACUGUAACUGACGCUGAGGCACGAAAGCGUG